rnacentral:tRNA from 1 species
GCCCCGGUAGCUCAGCUGGUAGAGCAUGAGACUCCUAAUCUCAUGGGUUCGUGCCCCACGUAUUUGGCAGUGGCA